GGAAACAGGUGCUAAUACCGUAUAACACUAUUUUCCGCAUGGAAGAAAGUUGAAAGGCGCUUUUGCGCCACUGAUGGAUGGACCCGCGGUGCAUUAGCUAGUUGGUGAGGUAACGGCUCACCAAGGCCACGAUGCAUAGCCGACCUGAGAGGGUGAUCGGCCACACUGGGACUGAGACACGGCCCAGACUCCUACGGGAGGCAGCAGUAGGGAAUCUUCGGCAAUGGACGAAAGUCUGACCGAGCAACGCCGCGUGAGUGAAGAAGGUUUUCGGAUCGUAAAACUCUGUUGUUAGAGAAGAACAAGGAUGAGAGUAAAACGUUCAUCCCUUGACGGUAUCUAACCAGAAAGCCACGGCUAACUACGUGCCAGCAGCCGCGGUAAUACGUAGGUGGCAAGCGUUGUCCGGAUUUAUUGGGCGUAAAGCGAGCGCAGGCGGUUUCUUAAGUCUGAUGUGAAAGCCCCCGGCUCAACCGGGGAGGGUCAUUGGAAACUGGGAGACUUGAGUGCAGAAGAGGAGAGUGGAAUUCCAUGUGUAGCGGUGAAAUGCGUAGAUAUAUGGAGGAACACCAGUGGCGAAGGCGGCUCUCUGGUCUGUAACUGACGCUGAGGCUCGAAAGCGUGGGGAGCGAACAGGAUUAGAUACCCUGGUAGUCCACGCCGUAAACGAU
rnacentral:rRNA from 1 species